AUUCCCUAGUACGGCGAGUGAAGCGGGAACAGCUCAAUUUGAAAUCUGGCCCUCGGGUCCGAGUUGUAAUUUGUAGAGGAUGCUUUUGGUGCGGUGCCUUCCGAGUUCCCUGGAACGGGACGCCUUAGAGGGUGAGAGCCCCGUACGGUUGGACGCCUAGCCUCUGUAAAGCUCCUUCGACGAGUCGAGUAGUUUGGGAAUGCUGCUCUAAAUGGGAGGUAUAUUUCUUCUAAAGCUAAAUACUGGCCAGAGACCGAUAGCGCACAAGUAGAGUGAUCGAAAGAUGAAAAGCACUUUGAAAAGAGGGUUAAAUAGCACGUGAAAUUGUUGAAAGGGAAGCGUUUAUCACCAGACUUUUUCUAGGGGGAUCAUCCGGUGUUCUCACCGGUGCACUUCCCCUGGUUGAGGCCAGCAUCGGUUUUCGGAGGGGGAUAAAAGCUUCGGGAAUGUGACUCCCUCGGGAGUGUUAUAGCCCGUUGCAUAAUACCCUUCUGGGGACCGAGGUUCGCGCAUCUGCAAGGAUGCUGGCAUAAUGGUGAUCAACGACCCGUCUUGAAACACGGACCAAGGAGUCGAACAUUUAUGCGAGUGUUUGGGUGUCAAACCCUCACGCGUAAUGAAAGUGAACGGAGGUGAGAGCCCUUACGGGUGCAUCAUCGACCGAUCCUGAUGUCUUCGGAUGGAUUUGAGUAAGAGCAUAACUGUUCGGACCCGAAAGAUGGUGAACUAUGCGUGGAUAGGGUGAAGCCAGGAGAAAUCCUGGUGGAGGCUCGCAGCGGUUCUGACGUGCAAAUCGAUCGUCAAAUCUGCGCAUGGG
rnacentral:rRNA from 1 species